UACGUAGGGGGCUAGCGUUGUCCGGAAUCAUUGGGCGUAAAGCGCGUGUAGGCGGCCCGGUAAGUCCGCUGUGAAAGUCGGGGGGCUCAACCCUCGGAUGCCGGUGGAUACUGUCGGGCUAGAGUACGGAAGAGGCGAGUGGAAUUCCUGGUGUAGCGGUGAAAUGCGCAGAUAUCAGGAGGAACACCAAUUGCGAAGGCAGCUCGCUGGGACGUUACUGACGCUGAGACGCGAAAGCGUGGGGAGCAAACAGG
rnacentral:rRNA from 1 species